CGAACGCUGGCGGCAGGCCUAACACAUGCAAGUCGAGCGCACUCUUCGGAGUGAGCGGCGGACGGGUUAGUAACGCGUGGGAACGUGCCCUUCUCUAAGGAAUAGCCACUGGAAACGGUGAGUAAUACCUUAUACGCCNUUCGGGGGAAAGAUUUAUCGGAGAAGGAUCGGCCCGCGUUAGAUUAGAUAGUUGGUGGGGUAACGGCCUACCAAGUCUACGAUCUAUAGCUGGUUUUAGAGGAUGAUCAGCAACACUGGGACUGAGACACGGCCCAGACUCCUACGGGAGGCAGCAGUGGGGAAUCUUGGACAAUGGGCGCAAGCCUGAUCCAGCCAUGCCGCGUGAGUGAUGAAGGCCUUAGGGUCGUAAAGCUCUUUCGCCAGAGAUGAUAAUGACAGUAUCUGGUAAAGAAACCCCGGCUAACUCCGUGCCAGCAGCCGCGGUAAUAC
rnacentral:rRNA from 1 species